UUUUUUUCUCUCUUUUUCUCUCUCGGCUAUCUCUCUCUCCUCCUCUCCUCCGAAAAACUCCCUCUUCUCUUCUCUCUUCGAUUUCAUCUACUUAGGGUGUGAUUCCGGACAAGGCCAGAGAAUUAAAGUUGUUAUACGGAGCACGAGCUUUCCAAAUAUCCAAGAAAAUUCAUGAUCGGACCUCGUUAGAGCUUGGUUGACUCGGUCAAAGGCUCGGAUUUUGCUCAAAACCCAUGAGGUUCAUUGCAGGUCAUGGUCAUGGUCAUGGAGUACUUGGAGUGCAUGCUGACAUUAUCGAUUAAAGCUAUUUUGGAGAGCACUUUAUUUUUCUUGUUUAACAAACGACUUUGUUAUGAAAUUCCUACUUUGAAAGAUUGUAUUUGUAGACCAAUUUAUGGAAUCGGAAACUGUAUUGUAUUUUGGGGUAUUGUACGUACGAUUGUGAGGACUUUGUAUUUCAAAUGGUAUUGUUAAUUUAUGUUGAAAAUCGAGGGCGUGACAACUUGGUAUCAGAGCAUUAGGUUUGAAUACCUAGAGACCGUGGGGAGACUUAGUCUCAGGGGUUCAAAAAAAAAAGUCAUUGCAUAUUUUUAACAAAACAUGAGUGUGCUUGCCUGACUGAUGUGUGUUCAUUGAUGUGGCAUUGCAUCUGUGUUUAUGCGAAUUGGUGGAAUGUGGUUGACUCAUGUAAAAAAAAGAAAAA